rnacentral:rRNA from 1 species
CCUACGGGAGGCAGCAGUGAGGAAUAUUGGUCAAUGGACGAGAGUCUGAACCAGCCAAGUAGCGUGAAGGAUGAUUGCCCUAUGGGUUGUAAACUUCUUUUAUAUGGGAAUAAAACAGGGUAUGCAUACCCUCUUGUAUGUACCAUAUGAAUAAGGAUCGGCUAACUCCGUGCCAGCAGCCGCGGUAAUACGGAGGAUCCGGGCGUUAUCCGGAUUUAUUGGGUUUAAAGGGAGCGUAGGUGGAUUGUUAAGUCAGUUGUGAAAGUUUGCGGCUCAACCGUAAAAUUGCAGUUGAAACUGGCAGUCUUGAGUACAGUAGAGGUGGGCGGAAUUCGUGGUGUAGCGGUGAAAUGCUUAGAUAUCACGAAGAACUCCGAUUGCGAAGGCAGCCUGCCAAGCCAUGACUGACGCUGAUGCUCGAAAGCGCGGGUAUCGAACAGGAUUAGAUACCCCAGUAGUC